rnacentral:ncRNA from 1 species
GGCCACCUACGGGGGGCUAUAACAGACAGGCGGGGUAACCCGCCGCAAAGCAACGGAAGACAGAAA